rnacentral:rRNA from 2 species
UCCGGUGAUUUGAGCGAUAUGGACCCACCUGAUCCCAUUCCGAACUCAGAAGUGAAACGUAUCAGCGCCAACAAUACUUGACUCUAAAGGGUCCGGGAAGAUAGGUCAUUGCCGGGG